rnacentral:siRNA from 1 species
AUACAUAUGCUGUGAAUGGUAAC